GACGAACGCUGGCGGCGUGCUUAACACAUGCAAGUCGAACGGAAAGGCCUGCUUUCCCUUGUGGAUUGCGGGUACUCGAGUGGCGAACGGGUGAGUAACACGUGAGUGAUCUGCCCCCAACUUGGGUAUAAGCCUGGGAAACUGGGUCUAAUUCCCGAUAGGACUGCAGGGUGGUGCCUGUGGUGGAAAACGAUUUUCUAGUGGUUGGGGAUGAGCUCGCGGCCUAUCAGCUUGUUGGUGGGGUAAUGGCCUACCAAGGCGGCGACGGGUAGCCGGCCUGAGAGGGUGGACGGCCACAUUGGGACUGAGAUACGGCCCAGACUCCUACGGGAGGCAGCAGUGGGGAAUAUUGCACAAUGGGCGGAAGCCUGAUGCAGCGACGCCGCGUGGGGGAUGACGGCCUUCGGGUUGUAAACUCCUUUCGACCGCGAGGAAGCCACCUGGUUGGAAGGGUGGUGACGGUAAUGGUAGAAGAAGCACCGGCUAACUACGUG
rnacentral:rRNA from 1 species